GUGACAAAGUUUAACGGCCGCGUACCCUAACCGUGCGAAGGUAGCAUAAUCACUUGUUCUUUAAAUGAGGACUAGUAUCAACGGCAUCACGAGGGUUAAACUGUCUCCUUUCUCCAAUCAAUGAAACUGAUCUUCCCGUGAAGAAGCGGGAAUUGACUUAUAAGACGAGAAGACCCCAUGGAGCUUUAAACCCAAUUACAUCCUUAUAUCUUAUUUCCUUAUAACCUCUAAGGUAUUGUACAUCUGGUUUUAGGUUGGGGUGACCACGGAGCAUAAACAAGCCUCCAUGAUGAAUGGAAUUAUUCCCUUAUCCAAGAAUUACACUUCUAAGAAUUAACAUUUUAACAUUUAAUGAUCCAAUAAUUGAUCAACGAACCAAGUUACCCUGGGGAUAACAGCGCAAUCCAUUUCAAGAGCUCCUAUCGACAAAUGGGUUUACGACCUCGAUGUUGGAUCAGGGUAUCCCAGUGGUGCAGCAGUUACUAAAGGUUCGUUUGUUCAACGAUUAAAACCCU
rnacentral:rRNA from 1 species